rnacentral:rRNA from 1 species
AUGAAAUUUAUAAUUCGUACUCUACCAAAAAUUGGUCAUAGCCAAACCGCUUAUCUUAGCAUUGCGGCAAGCGAGCGCGUGACUGACAACUCGGGCGCACCAUUUCCGACGGCUCAGAUCGCCUUUCCCCAGAAUCCAACGGCGGCGCCGCCUCUCACCACCUCAGCAGCGUUGGAAACCCAGAUCUCCUCUUGCCCGAGAUCCAAAGCACCUUCCUCCUCCCCACCCAUCGGCCAUUCCCUCCCUCCCCCCCCCCCNNNNNNNNNNNNNNNNNNNNNNNNNNNCCCACCCCUCCCCCGCUCCUCUCCGCGGCCAGGGCCAGGGGCCGCCGCCGCCGUCGCCGGGGACGACGCGCCGCCGGCGGGGGAACGGAAGAUGCUGACCAAGUUCGAGACCAAGAGCAACCGGGUCAAGGGCCUGAGCUUCCACCCGCGGCGGCCAUGGAUCCUCGCCAGCCUCCACAGCGGGGUGAUCCAGAUGUGGGACUACCGCAUGGGCACCCUCCUCGACCGCUUCGACGAGCACGACGGCCCCGUCCGCGGCGUCCACUUCCACGCCACCCAGCCCCUCUUCGUCUCCGGAGGUGAUGAUUAUAAGAUCAAGGUGUGGAAUUACAAGACACACCGCUGCUUGUUUACGCUUACUGGGCAUCUCGACUACAUUCGUACUGUUCAAUUCCACCAUGAGUACCCAUGGAUCGUGAGUGCCAGUGAUGACCAGACAAUCCGGAUCUGGAACUGGCAGUCACGUACUUGUGUGGCUGUGCUCACGGGGCAUAAUCACUAUGUCAUGUGCGCGUCCUUCCACCCCAAGGAGGACCUGGUUGUGUCAGCAUCGCUAGAUCAGACUGUCCGUGUUUGGGAUAUUGGUGCCCUGAGGAAGAAGACGGUGUCACCUGCAGAUGACAUCCUGCGUCUCACUCAGAUGAACACUGAUCUGUUUGGGGGCGUCGAUGCGGUUGUGAAAUAUGUCUUGGAAGGCCAUGACCGUGGUGUCAACUGGGCAUCAUUUCACCCUACACUGCCACUCAUUGUUUCUGGGGCUGAUGACCGGCAAGUGAAGCUGUGGAGAAUGAAUGAUACCAAGGCUUGGGAAGUUGAUACUUUGAGGGGGCACAUGAAUAAUGUGUCGUGUGUGAUGUUCCAUGCGAAGCAAGACAUCAUUGUGUCCAACUCAGAGGACAAAAGCAUUCGCAUUUGGGAUGCCACAAAGCGAACUGGUAUUCAGACAUUUAGGCGGGAACAUGACCGUUUCUGGAUCCUUGCUGCCCACCCUGAAAUGAAUCUUCUUGCUGCUGGUCAUGACAGUGGCAUGAUUGUGUUUAAAUUAGAGAGGGAACGCCCAGCUUUCAGCGUGAGUGCUGAUACUGUGUUCUAUGUGAAGGACAGAUUCCUCCGGUUCUUUGAGUACUCCACCCAGAAGGAAGUUCAGGUGGCUCCAAUAAGAAGACCAGGAUCUGUCAGCUUGAACCAGUCACCCAGGACACUAUCUUAUAGUCCAACUGAAAAUGCUGUGUUGAUCUGCUCUGAUGUGGACGGGGGCUCAUAUGAUCUGUACAUUGUUCCUAAAGAUUCUGCUGGCAGGGCUGAUUAUUUGCAAGAGGCAAAGAAGGGAGCUGGUGGCUCGGCUGUUUUUGUGGCACGGAAUAGGUUUGCUGUCCUUGAGAAGAGUAGCAAUCAAGUUUUGGUGAAGAAUCUUAAGAACGAAAUUGUGAAGAAGAGUCCUCUUCCUAUUGCGACUGAUGCAAUUUAUUAUGCUGGGACUGGUAAUUUGUUGUGCAAAGCUGAAGAUCGUGUGACCAUCUUUGAUCUACAACAAAGGCUAGUUCUUGGUGAACUCCAGUCAGCUGGUGUUAAAUAUGUAGUUUGGUCCAGUGACAUGGAGUAUGUUGCACUGCUGAGCAAGCAUGCAGUAGUUAUAGCUAGCAAGAAGCUUGUCCAUCACUCUACACUGCAUGAAACUAUUCGUGUGAAAAGUGGUGCCUGGGAUGAGAACGGUGUUUUUAUUUACUCUACUUUGAACCAUAUCAAAUACUGUCUUCCCAAUGGAGAUAGUGGGAUCAUAAAGACCCUUGAUGUCCCUGUUUACAUAACAAGGGUUAUUGGGAACAACAUUUUCUGUCUUGAUCGUGAUGGAAAGAACAAGCUGAUAACAGUUGAUGCUUCUGAAUACAUUUUCAAGCUCGCCCUUCUCCGGAAACGUUAUGACCAUGUUAUGAGUAUGAUUAAGAGCUCACAGCUGUGUGGGCAGGCAGUGAUUUCAUAUUUGCAACAGAAAGGGUUUCCAGAAGUUGCUCUCCACUUUGUGAAAGAUGAAAAGACAAGAUUCAAUCUAGCUCUUGAAAGUGGUAACAUCCAAAUCGCAGUGGCUUCUGCAAAAGAGAUUGAUGACAAGGAUCACUGGUACAGAUUGGGAAUUGAGGCCCUGAGGCAGGGGAAUGUUGGUAUUGUGGAAUACGCAUACCAGCGGACAAAGAAUUUUGAGAGGCUGACAUUUCUGUAUCUUAUUACUGGUUACAUGGACAAGGUUGGCUUCAUGUGCAAAAUUGCCGGACAGAAUAACAAUUUGAUGGGUCAGUUCCACAAUGCAUUGUAUCUUGGCGAUGCUAGGAAGCGAGCUGAGAUCCUGGAGAAUGCUGGACAGCUUCCUCUUGCCUACGUCACUGCUGCCACUCAUGGUCUCACUGAAAUUGCUGAAAGGCUUGCUGCUGAGUUGGGUGAGAAUGUUCCUUCUCUACCUGAAGGAAAAACUCGCUCACUCUUGAUUCCGCCCGCACCCCUCAUAUCCAGCGUUGAUUGGCCAUUGCUCCGGGUGAUGCGUGGCAUAUUUGAGGGUGGACUGGAUGCUACUGGGAGAGCAGAAGUUGAGGAAGAUGAUGAAGCUGCUGGUGCUGACUGGGGUGAUGAGGACUUGGAUAUUGUGGAUGCAAGUGAUGCAGUGGCAAAUGGAGGUGAUGGUUUUGAUCCCGAGGAAGGUGAAGCGAACGAGGAGGAUGGUGAGGAAGGUGGUUGGGAUCUUGAAGAUCUGGAAUUGCCUGAAGCUGAGACCCCAAAAGCUGCUGGAAAUGCUCGCUCCACUGUGUUUGUUGCUCCUACACCAGGAAUGCCUGUCAGCCAAAUUUGGACUCAGAAAUCUUCUCUUGCUGGGGAGCAUGCAGCAGCAGGCAACUUCGACACUGCAAUGAGGUUGCUCAGCCGCCAGUUGGGCAUCAAGAACUUUGCUCCCCUGAAACCCAUGUUUCUCGAUCUUCAUAUGGGCAGUCAUUCAUAUCUUCGCGCACUUGCAACUGCUCCCGUUAUAUCAAUUGCUGUUGAGAAAGGUUGGAGUGAGUCCUCAAGUCCUAACGUGAGGGGCCCUCCUUCACUAGUUUUCACCUUCUCACAAAUGGAAGACAGACUCAAGGCAGCCUACAAAGCCACAACCGAGGGAAAGUUCCCAGAAGCGCUGAGACAGUUCCUCAGCAUCUUGCAUACCAUUCCCUUGAUCGUGGUGGACUCGCGGAGAGAAGUUGAUGAAGUGAAGGAGUUGAUCGAGAUAGUGAGGGAAUAUGUUCUUGGUCUAAGAAUGGAACUCAAGAGGAAGGAAUUGAAGGACAACGUCAACCGGCAACAGGAACUGGCGGCCUACUUCACCAACUGCAAGCUCCAGAGGGUUCACAUGCGCCUUGUGCUCUCGAACGCCAUGGCUCUAUGCUACAAGCAGAAGAACUUUGCGACCGCAGAGCACUUUGCGAGGCUGCUCCUUGAGAACAGCCCUAAUGAGGUCCAAGCGAAGAAGGCUCGGCAGGUGCAGCAGCAGUGCAACGGCAAGAAGGACAGCCAUGAGCUCAACUAUGACUACAGAAAUCCGUUCGUCGUCUGUGGCUCGACGUAUGUUCCCAUCUACCGCGGCCAAAAGGACAUCUCGUGCCCAUACUGCGGAUCCCGGUUUGUUCCUGCCAUUGAAGGGCAGCUUUGUACCAUAUGCGAGCUGGCUGUGGUCGGCGCGGACGCCUCGGGCCUCCUGUGCUCCCCUACACAGACGAGAUGA